rnacentral:rRNA from 1 species
GACGAAGGAUCCAAGCGUUAUCCGGAUUCAUUGGGUUUAAAGGGUGCGUAGGCGGGUUUGUAAGUCAGUGGUGAAAUCCUAUCGCUUAACGAUGGAACUGCCAUUGAUACUGCGGACCUAGGAUAUAGAUGAUGUUGGCGGAAUAUGACAUGUAGCGGUGAAAUGCAUAGAUAUGUCAUAGAACACCGAUUGCGAAGGCAGCUGACAAAACUAUUAUUGACGCUGAUGCACGAAAGUGCGGGGAUCAAACAGG